CACAUGAGUAAGACAUGGAAGCUUCUGGAUGCUUCCAGACCCUCCCAUGGCUGCUGAGAUGGACAAAGCUGGAGUAUCACAGCGACGGGGCCUACAAAGGCGGGCGUCCCUCUGCUCCCGGCAGAGUUGCGUCCUCAGCCGCGGAAUCUGGGGGUGCAGGCCCCUCCCAGCAAGUCCGGAAUUUAAAGCAACGCUGUUGUUGACGGCCAGGUUCAAGGGGACAGAAAGCUGACAAGCAGCCUCCAGACGCAAGAUCCGAUUCAAUGGGUGGGGCCUGGGCACCUGCUGCUUUGACAGCCCUGCUUAAGGACACUGGGCAACCGUCCCCAUCACACGCCACAGCCCGGCCUCUCCAUCGGUCACCGGUUUGCCCAGGUCUUCUCUUCUGCGAAACGUUCUCACGCGUUCUCUCUCAAUACCCCGGUCACUGUGAACCAACCACACGUCCGAUCCCGGGCAUGUGAAGAGCAGCACGAUUCACAAAAGGCGGCCAACAACACAGGUGCCCGGCAAGGGGUGACAGAAUGAAGCAGAAUGUGAUGUACCCACACAAUGGAAUGCUGUGCACCCGGAAAAAGGGAGGAGAUUCUGGGGCGCCUGGGGGGCUCAGCCGGUUAAGCGUCGGACUCUCGGUUUCAGCUCAAGUCAUGAUCUCACAGUUUGGGGAGUUCGAGCCCCA